ensembl:lncRNA
AGUCGCUCGGCGGACAGAGGCGAGGAGGAGCGCCUCUCUCCCCGGCUUCGUGGAAGAGGAGAGGACUACAACUUUAAAAACUAUUCUCACAAGCAUAUAUAGAUUUUUAAAAAAAAACAAAUAUUGUCUAAAUGAAAGUGUUUGUUGUCUGGCUUUUUUGUUUUACUGGUCAGCGGCCGUAGAGGAAAGACACUUAUUGAGAAACGUUUUGAUAAAUAUUUUGACGUGCAGCACGUAUAACGUUACGUGACCAGUGAGGCGUUUUUUGCGUGGGAUACCCGUAUCAAAUUGAAGCCCGAGAAGCGAGGACGGGGUUUAACCCCCCAGCAUUGGACCGGUCCAGCGUGCGGGGCGAUACGCCCAGAAAAACGCAUAUUUUUCCUUGCUCGAGUCACGCACGGCCAUUCAGUCCAAUGCGCACUUGCUGGGGGAAUAAGUGGAGUGAAAGAAGAAAAAGACUCGGUCUGCUGUCUCGGUGGAACCUGGACGCUUCUCUUCUCCUCUGGGCUGCUUUUCACACCUGUCAAGGUUCCCUCUUCCUGUGAUAUCAUCACACCAUGCCUGAGGGGGCGGGCCGCGGCAGCCAGAAAAAGCCCAGUAACCAAGGUCAGAGGUCACAAUGUAAAUUGCAUGCACUAUAUUCUGUCUAGUGCUAAAAGUGUCAACAGAACAAUGAGUGUCACGGUUUAUGGAACAUGUGUAAAAAAAAGGGUCAUUUGAAAGUGACUUCACCCAUCUGUCAGGGACUGACUUCGCAGGGGGUACUCCAUUUGCACAAUUUAGGCUAUGAUGAUGGCAUCAAAAGACGACAAAAUAUGCCAAGUUGCAAUGCUGAAUACCUUAUUAGCCUUACCAAAGUUCCCUUCAUGAAAAAAAGGUAGAACCAAUGAACAAAUAAAACCAAAGGGAUUUUAUCACAUGUUCCAGACAACAUCAAUUAUUAUCAGGGCAUAACGAAUAGCAUGUGGUGGAACCCGGAGCACAAACUGAACAUUGCAGAUAUAUUUAGCCCACAGCUUCCCUCCUUUGGAUUUUUCACAAAGAAUGGCUGUUUACAUUAUCAGAGUAUGACAUGCAGUGGAAAUGCACUGACAAUUCCGAUUGUUUAAGGGUGUUCACUUUUUACUUGUUAGAGCUUUUGUAAACACAGAGGAAAGACUCUGGAAUGGCUAUAGGAGUGAAUAAUGGAUAUUUCUCCUGGGGCCUUAAACAAACAGCAAUGUGGUGCAGUCCCACAUUCACAG